CAGCCGCCACGGUAAUGCGUAGGUGGCAAGCGUUGUCCGGAAUUAUUGGGCGUAAAGGGAGCGCAGGCGGACAUAUAAGUCCAUCUUAAGAGUGCGGGGCUCAACCCCGUGAGGGGAUGGAAACUGUAUGCCUUGAGUGCAGGAGAGGAAAGCGGAAUUCCCAGUGUAGCGGUGAAAUGCGUAGAUAUUGGGAGGAACACCAGUGGCGAAGGCGGCUUUCUGGACUGUAACUGACGCUGAGGCUCGAAAGCCAGGGGAGCGAACGGGAUUAGAUACCCGAGUAGUCCCUGUCUCUUAUACA
rnacentral:rRNA from 1 species